rnacentral:sRNA from 1 species
UGACAUCGGCGAGGGCGCAGUUGCCCUG